rnacentral:rRNA from 1 species
UACAGAGGUGCCAAGCGUUAGGCGGAAUCACUGGGCUUAAAGCGCGUGUAGGCGGGUCGUUAAGUGUCCGAGUGAAAUCCCACGGCUCAACCGUGGAACUGCCGGGCAUACUGGCGAUCUUGAGGCAUUCAGGGGCGAGCGGAACAAAUGGUGGAGCGGUGAAAUGCGUAGAUAUUGGGAAGAACACCGGUGGCGAAGGCGGCGACCUGGUCCGAUACUGACGCUGAGGCGCGAAAGCGUGGGGAGCAAACAGG